AUUGUCGGAACCAUGUGAGUGAGG
rnacentral:siRNA from 1 species